UACGUAGGGUGCGAGCGUUGUCCGGAAUUAUUGGGCGUAAAGGGCUCGUAGGCGGUCUGUUGCGUCGGGCGUGAAAACUCAGGGCUUAACCCUGAGCCUGCUUCCGAUACGGGCAGACUAGAGGUAUGCAGGGGAGAACGGAAUUCCUGGUGUAGCGGUGGAAUGCGCAGAUAUCAGGAGGAACACCGGUGGCGAAGGCGGUUCUCUGGGCAGUACCUGACGCUGAGGAGCGAAAGUGUGGGGAGCGAACAGG
rnacentral:rRNA from 1 species